CUUCACUGGUGCCUGGUAACCAGCGACCAAUAGGACGCUUGUGUGUGAGCGCGGAGAAACUGAUUGUAUUGUGUGUGUGUUCGUCGCGGUAUCUGUGUAUUUUGCGACGCUAAAAUUUAGUUUCAGGAUUUUAACCUCCACCCACAAUGAGUCUGUCCCUGAGGCCUGAACUUGCAGCAGACAAAAACAAACGCAAGAAGAGGAGAGAGCUCACUGAGGACCAGAAACAUGAAAUCAAAGAAGCUUUUGACCUGUUUGACACUGACAAAGACAAAGAAAUCGACUACCAUGAGCUGAAGGUGGCGAUGCGGGCACUUGGCUUUGAGGUGAAGAAAGUGGAUGUUUUGAAGAUUCUCAAAGACUAUGACAGAGAGGGAAAUGGCAAAAUAACAUUUGAGGAUUUCAGUGAAGUUGUGACCGAUCGCAUCCUGGAGCGAGACCCGAAGGAGGAGAUCCUGAAGGCCUUCAAGCUGUUUGAUGACGACGAAUCAGGAAAGAUCAGCCUGAGGAACCUGAGGCGAGUCGCUCGAGAACUCGGGGAGAACAUCAGCGACGAGGAGCUGCGCAGCAUGAUCGACGAGUUUGACGCUGACGGAGACGGUGAAAUAAACCAGGAGGAGUUCGUCUCCAUCAUGACCGGAGACUCAUGAUGAAGAGCUUGGAGUCGGUUCGAUGGUCCAUGUUGAAGUUGAGUGACUGAACAUCUGAGCGUGAAGGUGAAGGCGUGAGUCGGCCUCCUGUGGACGGCCUGACUCGAGGUGCAUAAACUUCCCUUGUGCCCCCCCUCCACCCAACCCCUGAAACCCCAGCAUGCAAUAGGGGGUGGUCCAUCGAAGACACACACAGGUCAGUAUGAACAACUGUCUUUACGUGUCUGAAAGUACAUUGAAAAGAGAUGAAAAACGUUUUUCACUGCAGGCACAUCGUUCAGUAACGUGUUGGGGCUUCACAAACUGACACACACACUGAUUUUGUUAUUUUGACAAUGAUGGAAGACGAGUUUUUCCACACGGCGCCACCAUGAGGCAGACAUUUGAGGGUUUUAGUCUGGACAGCUGUGGGAUGAUUAUUUAGUCUCUCGUGGUAUUUGUUUUGCAUGUGUCGCUGGUCAUUUUGUAUCCGUUUUCAGUACUUUGUUGUGUCUUUUUAGUUUUGCACCUCAUUUUGAAUCCUUCUGCAGUUUCAUUUCUCUUUGAGGUACUUUGAGGUUCUGGUCUGGGAGGCCCAGGGCCUGUAUCAGUACGCCUGUUUGCCCCCUUGUUUACCUGCCAGGGUCAGGGUGGGAUCCACUAGGCAUCCCCUUUAUUUAGAAUGAGCAAAUCACCUCCCUCCUAACACCCUUUAACUGUUUGUUGGGGGGGGUGACCUUUUGGAUUCAAAGGGGUGUCCAUGUCAGCCCUUUGGCUUCACCCCUGUCGUUUAUCAAGACUGUAUAUAAUAUUUACUGAUGUAUUUUAUGUCCACUUGUCUGCUUUUAAACGCUGCAGCAUGUCGUCAUCCCGCAGCCUUCCUGCUGUACCUCCGCUGUCCACCAGAGGGAGUCACUCUCUCUUCUUAAAGCCGACGCUCGUGGUGACACUGAGCAGCAGAUCAGAGAUCAGCCAGUCGUUUUCUGUUCACUUCCAUCAUGAGAGUCACUUUCACCCAAAUCAGAGCAGAGAAUCUCUUUGGAUUAAUUUCAACCAGUCUUUGUAAAUCCUUUUCAAUUAGCUGAAUUGGGUAAAGUAAUUAUUUCCAAAGUGAAUAGCAGCGACCAUUUGUAUAAUUGGUGAAUGAUGAAACUGCAUCCAGUGAAGAGGUGCUCGGGGACACUUUUAACUUGUCUCCCAUAUGAUGAUAAAUGUGUUGACAUAAUGAAGCCAAAGCUACAGUCACACACACUGACCACAAAACCGGUUCAGGCGGAUCCUCGUCAGCUCCCUGUUAUUUGACUCCCCGCAGACCCUCACAUGUUGGUUUAGACCAGUGCUUCUCAAUUAUUUUC